CAGACAUGGAGCUCAUGCACCAUUUCCUCUUGGGGAGCUCAGCUCUGCCAGCCCUGCCCACACGGAGGGAACAGGGAGCAGGUGCUGGCUGAAGGUGUGGCAGGAGCUCCUGAGAGCUCCUGAGGAGUUGAUUCCGUGCAUGAAGUUAACUGCUGGGACUGGCACUCUUACAGAUAUCCAGAGGUCCCCGUGUCCUCCUGACCCUGGGCUUCAGUGCAGCCUGACACGAAGGGAGGGUAGGGCAGGAACGGUGCAGGGCCAAGGCUGUCAGAGCACAAGCACUUGGAGCUGCAAUCAUGUGCAUAAAAGGCUUCAGAGCUGCCUGAGAACUAGCACUGAAGAUAUAUCCUUGACAUUUUCGGGUGCUGAACAUUUAUCAGAGAGGGGGCUGUGUAUGGAGCAUGCUGCUGUGUUCACAGCUUCAGCAGAGGCACUGAAAAGGCAGCUCUGUGGAAAACCCUUGGAACACACGGCCUGUCAGACCUGCCCUGCCAUUCAGAAACAUUGUGGAUCUAAAAUAAUGCUGGCCUGA
rnacentral:lncRNA from 1 species